UCACCUUUCAGGGUGUGGAAGCUUUGUUCUUUUGCUCUUUACAGUAAAUCUUGCUGCUGGUUGCUCUCUGGGUGCGUGCCUCCUUUAAGAGCUGUAACACUCACAGGGAAGGUCCCCAGCUUCAUUCUUGAAGUCAGCAAGACCAAGAAUCCACAGGAAGGAACCAACUUCAGACACAAGAGCAACAGGCUGCUACUGCGAAGAGGCCCAAACAGCAGAGAUCUCAGCACUUCCAGCAUGGGCAGACAACCCAGCAUCCCAUUACUACACGUUGACCCCCGUCUCACGGCCACCCCUGGAUGUGCCAUACCCACACUCCGUCUGCCUGGUUGGAAGUGGUUUGGGGGAAGACGAAGGGAUAGCAAAUGGUAGACUGUCACUUGGUCCUCCAAGCGCAGGAGAGGCUGACCAGCAUUUAUUAACUGCGUGGUGAACGGCCCGUUGUCCGAACAGUCACCAUCAGGUCCUAGCGGCAGGCCAGGUCAGCGCAGUGUCUGGUGUGAGGGCCUGGACUUUCGAAAUGCAUCUAUGGCCAGGGUGAGGCAGCAGAGGCAGAAAAGGCCGAGGCCCAGCAGGCCAGCCAGCCCUUCAAACUGCAGCCCUCGAUGCUGGUACAUAGUCGUGCGCAAACUUCGGCACACGCCAGUGCAGGCAGCACUAGCUGUUGGCUGAGCGCAGUCUCCACUUAGUGGCGGUCCGAAGACGGAACCAGGGGCUCAGGCUCUGGCUUCUGCUUUGCCAGAAGCCUCUAUGGGCAUCUGCUUCCGCGAACUGAGCUCCUCCUCCUGCUGGACAACUUCAGGGGCAAGAACCUAGAACAGAGCUUGGCUUGUGAUGGGCUUCCACUGUUUAAUGAAUAAAUGAAGGAGUAAAUGAAUCAAGAUAACCUCAUACAUCUCUUCAAUGUGGAAUUGGAAAGCCUUCUACAGGAACUCGUCAGAAGGAAAUAAGGCCUACAAGAGUUUUAACCAGUAGCUGAGAAAGGUCCAAAAGUAGAGUCACAUAGAAAGGGGCACUCUGAGCAAGGCUCAAAGAAAUGCUGCUGAAUCAACAGUGUCUCUACAAGGAACCAGUCAACACUGAACUCCUGCUGUGUGCAUGGCACUGGGCUGGGCAAUGUGAAGGACACAGAGGAAACAACAGACUCUCCAGACCAUCCACUGCUCCAUCAAUGAUGAAAAAAGACAAACUGACCAUGCCGGUGCUGUCUGACGAGGAUGCAGAACUGGAGUUUGCAGACAGUCCUGAGGGAAUGUAUGAUGCUACAGACACUUGGGAAAAGACGUUGGCAGUUUCUCUGAAAGUAAAACACACUUGCCAUAUGACCCAACAAUCGUAUUCCUAGGAUUUACUCAAGUAAAAUGAAAAAUUAUGUCUAAGCAAAAAGCCUGUAAGUGAAUGUUUAUAGCAGAUUUAUUCCUAUUUAUCCCAAACUGGAAACUAUCCAUCCACUAACUAUUGACUAGACAAACAAACCACAGCUCUUUCUUAUGGUGGAAUACUACUCAGCAUCAGAAGGAAUGAAUGUCUGAUACGUACAGCAACAUGGAUCUGUCUCAGAUGUAUUAUGCUAAAGAAAGAAGCCCAACUCAACAGGUUGCAUACUGUUCAAUUCCCCUUAUAUGAUAUUCUGGAAAAAGAAAAACUAUAAGGGUAGAAAACAGAGCAGUGGUUGCUGGGAGUGGGGUUGAAUCAAAAGGGGCAAGAGGGAAUGAGUGAUGGAACUGAUUUAUAUAUAGAUUGUGGUAGCGGUGGUUAUGUGACUGUAUGCAUUUGUCAAACUUCACAGAACGUAUGUCUAAAAAGAAUAUAUUUCAUUGUAUCUAAAUUUUACCUCAAUAAACCUAAUGAAAGAAUUCAGGGUGGUAACUUGAAGAAAAAUAAGAGUUAAAAAUAUGUAUAGUCUUUACUUGUACACCUAAAGAUACAAAUGAAACUCAAAAGCCUCACUAUCCCUGAGGCAGAGACAAGUUAACUUCACUGCCAGUUUAUGAUCAGGUAAAGGCUACUGUGUUACCGUGGAUACAAGCUGUUAUUCUCUUUUGUAUGAAACCUUUCAUAUUAUUAAAUUGUGACUCACAUGGUGCAGGGGUAAACUCAGAAACAUCCAAAGUCACCCAAGGGUUUUUCCAUGUUAGGAACCCUGCCCAUAGCGUUUUCUUCAUGAACACAUGAAAAACUGUGUGAUGUCAGUGAACAUAUCCUUAAGGGGUUAAAGAAAGAAAGGUUAGAAACUUUUUGGCUAAAAGCUGUCUGCUAGUCCUCAGGUCAUUAAGGCUCUUUCUUUUUUUAUUGUUUGUUACAGAAAUGAUUUCCCAAACAUAGACUGUGGAAAUGGUGACAUAUGGGAGGCUGACCCCUCCUCCCUCUGUCAUCUUUCAUGUGAAACCAUGAUUUUCUGAUUUAUAAAGUAGAUAGCGUGGAGAUUGCAGGUAGGUUUUAAAGUCAGGCUAAUUCUUUGUGGUGGGAUUCAAAUUAGCGAAUUGUGGUAAUUUAUUCACACAUGGUAGGUCAUGAUAGAAAUAAGACUUUAAAAAGCACCUAUAUUUUAAAACUCUGUUAAAAAUGUUCUGCCGCAGAGAUAGCCAUACAUCUGCCUAACAACCAGUAAACAUUAAAAUCAUAGCAGCCACUAGGGACCCUGGUGCUUUCUGUAGGUGAAGGAGGCACCACACACACCUCUUAGGCCUUGGCUCUCCCGCUCCCUGUCUUGCUUUUCAUGAUCCAGGAUCCCACACAGUCCAGAGCUCCCACACGCACCAUGCUAGGCCUGCCUCCAGGCCUAUGUCUAUUCAGUCCUUCAUUUGACAUAGAUAUUUUGACUGUCUACUAUGUGUCUGUUAUGGAUUGAAUUGUGCCCUGCCCCCCAGCCCCAAAUCCAAAUGUUGAAGUCCUAGCCCCUACUAGGACCUUAUCUGGAAAUAAGUCCUUGCAGAUAUAAGUAAUUAAGAUGAGGUCAUACUGGAGCAGGAGGGCCGCUAAUCCUGUAUGAAUUGUGUCCUUAUAAAAAGCAGGAAUAUGGACACACACACAUGGAGAAUGACAAGGGAUGAUGAAGGCAGAGAGCAGGGUGAUGUGUCUACAAGUCAAGGAAGGCCAAAGAUUGUCAACCAACCUCCAGAAGCUGGGAGAGAGGCAGGAGUCAGACUCUCCUUACAGCAUCAGAAGGAACCAACCCUGCUCUUAGACCCUAGAUCUUGGACUUGUAGCCUUCAGAACUGUGAGAUAAUACGUUUCUGUCUCAACUCCAUUUUUAGUUCUAUAAAGUACAUUUCCUACUGACAAGGAGAUGCUGAAAAGAGAUGAGAAGCUCCCUUAACCGAAUCCCUCGUUCAGGAGGAUGGCUCAGGUGGUGAUUCGGAACACUGCUCCUUUGCGGACCAGGCACGUGGCUCCUCAGUGCUUCUGCGGCCCUGACGGAGCAGCUCGCCCUUGCCUCCUCUGACUUCUUUUUGAUUUGAAUCUGCAAUAACCUAAAAUACUUUAUAUACCUUUAAAGCAACUGGGAUAAUCUUUUCUAGAGGGAAAGAGGGAGAGUUGUGUAAAGUGUGGCAUAGUUGCUUUUGGGCUAGGUCUGGCGUCAUGGCCUUUGGGGAAAUCGAUGGCCUCUCAUCUUGGCGAGUGCGCCGACAAACACCCAAUGUUGGGGCAUAUGGACAACCCCAGAAGUCUCACACAGCAGCUGUUACAUCGAUUUCCAAGUACAGAGACCUGAGCAAUAACUGCAGUGACAUUUUCCUGGCUGGCUCUGACCUCUGAAUCUCACUGAUUAGUCUAACACACACUGUGAACAUCAACCAGUUAGGACUCUAAGCCAAGACUCAAAAAUUGCUUUAAAAUGGCAGGAGAUGUUUAAGACAUAAUUUGUGUGAGUUGGUCAUUAACUUUCUCACUUCCCAAUCCGUGAUUCUUUUUUAUACUCUCCCUCUCAAUUAUUUUUCCCUGUUAGGCUGAUGCUUCUGUAGUAGUUACCUCUAAUCACUAAGAUACUU